GAUGAAGAACGCAGCGAAAUGCGAUACGUAAUGCGAAUUGCAGAAUUCAGUGAAUCAUCGAGUCUUUGAACGCACAUUGCGCCCCCUGGUAUUCCGGGGGGCAUGCCUGUCCGAGCGUCAUUGCUGCCCUCAAGCACGGCUUGUGUGUUGGGCCUCCGUCCUCCUCCCGGGGGACGGGCCCGAAAGGCAGCGGCGGCACCGCGUCCGGUCCUCGAGCGUAUGGGGCUUCGUCACCCGCUCUUGUAGGCCCGGUCGGCGCUUGCCGACACAUCAAUCUUUUUUCCAGGUUGACCUCGGAUCAGGUAGGGAUACCCGCUGAACUUAAGCAUAUCAAUAAGCGGAGGA
rnacentral:misc_RNA from 1 species